GAUGAACGCUAGCUACAGGCUUAACACAUGCAAGUCGAGGGGCAGCAUGGUCGAAGCUUGCUUCGACUGAUGGCGACCGGCGCACGGGUGCGUAACGCGUAUCGAACCUGCCCUAUACACGGGGAUAGCCUUGCGAAAGUAAGAUUAAUACCCGAUGCCAAGUUGAGAUCGCAUGAUUUUGAUUUGAAAGAAAUUCGGUAAAGGAUGGCGAUGCGUCCCAUUAGUUAGUUGGCGGGGUAACGGCCCACCAAGACGACGAUGGGUAGGGGUUCUGAGAGGAAGGUCCCCCACAUUGGAACUGAGACACGGUCCAAACUCCUACGGGAGGCAGCAGUGAGGAAUAUUGGUCAAUGGGCGGAAGCCUGAACCAGCCAAGUAGCGUGCAGGAAGACGGCCCUAUGGGUUGUAAACUGCUUUCAGUCGGGAAUAAUUCGUCGGUCGUGACCGGCGUUGCAGGUACCGUCAUAAGAAGGACCGGCUAAUUCCGUG
rnacentral:rRNA from 1 species